CGCCGAGGUAGGCAUUGAGUGUUUCGCUGGGAUACUCUGAAGCGCCAGUGGUACAAGUACGGAGACUGGCUACUCUUUGCCACACCAGCAGAUUUUCGCGUAGGACAUCACUUCUUCAAACCAGGACAGCGGGAAAACCUGUUACGGGAUGUCGUUUUCCUGGAUCCACCUGAAUGGGUUGCAACUCUGGACUCAACUGUCAGCGAAUCCACAUUUUUGCAGAUAAUAGCGCAUUUCCUUAUCUACAGCUAUACCGUGAAUCUGACUUUGUAUAAGCCUAAAAAUGUCAGCAUACCGACAAAUGAGACAAUAAUGCUACGCUGGAGUUGGGGCGCGUGCGGUUCCUCGUCGAGUUUUGAUAUUCUACGGCUUCUGCUCGUUAGACUUCCUUCCGAAGUCCACGCCCUCACUGGCGCGUUUUCUCCGGUUACUGCACCAAACUUUGCACACAGCAUGAAAACGACAGGUUUUUAUUAACGUAUGCUAGAAGCCCGUUCGUUGUGUUGCCGUCCAUUCGCUUCACGUUUUCGCCUUUCUCAACAUGUGAUAUGUAACAUUGUUCGGCUCCACGAGCUGUCGACAUCUUCAAUUGUGGUUUGCCCGCCAUCUGGGGGUUAAAAGCAGCCCUCGUGGGGCACCAUGAUCUACGAGUGUGACCACCCCGCAAGUGUGGCUAGCUUACAAGUUGAGUUACACAACGUUUCUACUCUCAUUUUCUGCCUGCGGGCCCCCGUCUCAUAUUAGCACCACUGUACUGGGGGAAGCAUCAUGUUGCUAUGGCCAUCUUUCUCGUGCACACGGUUUUCUCGUCUUUUCAACUGAAUUGUCCAGUCGCUCCACCAGCCCUCCUGUGCAGCAUCGUAGCAUCGUGUUGGACGAAUUGUAUCACUUUCCCUUCUAAACGACUCGUCCUUUUGCGCCUCACACUCUUCAUAGUUUACCCCAGCAUGGAACCGCGAGUCUUGGUUGCCUUCCCCUUCCGUAGGCGCUCGCGUGGACGGCGUUAGCAGAGAACGCUGGACUCUCUCAUUCGUCCAGAAACAUGUGUCAGAAUUUUCGCUGCCGCGAGUAUGCUCUGUUCCCCAUUGUUCCUGGUUGUGACAUGUGCUCAUGCUUGUCCUUCGGCUCGAGUUGCUCGAGCAGCUGCUCCCUGGACCUCUGGCAGCGAGGCCGCUAUCAUAGAUCGUAUCAUCAGCGCGUCCGUGAUCUCCGUCAGUGCAUGAAGCAGGCGGAUAAGAAUCUUUCGGAGGGUUGCAUUCCCCGUCAACACUGGAGACCAUUUGUGACUCGAACCGUGGCUCUCUCCCUCUUCCUACAGAAGGCUCUUGCCGCCCCCUUCCAAAGGAAUGCGGGUUCUGCGAGUGUCUAGACGAGCACUUUGCGACCACGGCAUGUUGCGAGAUGCGGUGCCCGUCUGGGGACGAAGCCCCCGUAAGUCGGUGCCACGGGGCGGCCAGGUGCCCCUGUUGAAGGAGUUCGAACUGGUAGACAACUCGUCCGUUCGAGCUUUUCUGUCGCUCUCGCCACGGAGGCAGAAACAGUUCAUCGCAGUUCGGCGGCACCUGGCAGCCAGCUGGGAAGUCGAUUGCUGCUGUUGCGUCGGCGCGCUCAGGGAAAUGCGCCGAUUUCGCCGCGACAUCGAAGUCCGUCGUUUUCCUCUUCUUCAAGUGUUGUUCGAUGUCUUCGAGUGACGCAGCCCAUGGGUCAUCGUUGUCCUGCUGGCGCUCUUCCCCGGUUGCUCUCUCUGCCUCUUGGUCACUGUCGGUAGACUCACUCAGGUUGCUGGCGCGGCGCACCAUUAGGGGCAACGAUGACGUCGCCGUAACCGUUUGGUUUCCUCUCGAAGAGCGCUCCGGCUCCUCGUCCUGGCCGUACACACUGUGGUUGUCUCGGGGGCUUUCUCGCACCGAGGACCCCCCAGUGCAAGAUUCCUGCUGGUUCUGCUGGCGCCUGCGCGCUCUCUGUCGGCGUUGCUGCUGGCGCUGCUUCCGUCGCCUCUGCCUCUCUGUUGCGGGGCGAGACUCGGGUCUGCCUGCCUCUACCUCCAGCCCACUUCGCGAGUGGCUAAGUCCCCCUCGGACAGUCAGGACAACGGGCGGCGCCGCAGGCUGCAGCGGCGAGACAUCAUCCUGCGGAAAGUCGCGCGAGCGCUUCUUGCCUUCCCCUCUUUGUCCGUCGCUGCCUCCGAGCCUCCGGUCGUCGAGACUGCCGGAGUUCUGCGGGGACCUGCGUUCGACCGGCAAGGGUGGCGCCCCGCCGGGGGACCUCUGGGGCCCCGCGACGCCAAACGGCGUUAUGGGAGAUGGCGGCAGACGCGAAAGAGCUUGCGAACACGGCGAAGGCGUCAGUUGACUCGGAGGCUGAUGCCAGGGAAAACCGCUGUGCCGAGGAGAGGACAGGCCUCUGGACCGCCGCGGCGUGUCUGCGCCUUCAAAUCUGCGAGGCAUCUCCCUGAAAAUGCGCGAAGGACUCUCACUGCUCGGAAAUCUCCUCCAGUCGGCGGCGGAGGCGCUGUUAACGCGAAGCGGAGGGAGCUGGCGGGAUGCGCACUGCGACGACGUAGACGGAGCUGAGAGGAUGGUAGGAACAGGCAAACGCCUAGGAGAUUGGGAUGAAACACGACAUGAGGGGGACUGUGUAAAUGAUCGAUCAUUCCAGGCGGAAUUGCUGCGCUGAGAGGGGGACGCAUCUCCACGGAAUUGCGACGGCGGCGUCCGGGUGCUUCGGCCCGAGCUAUCACUAAAUCUCCGGUACUUCGCCCAGUGUUCCCUUUCGGAGGGAAUCGGAGGCUUCGGAGAAAAGCACCGGCCCCUCCGAACGGUGUCAUUUCUGGAACAGCUCACUGAUUCCACGAGGCAAGGUCUCCUGUGUUCAGUUCGCCGCAACGAUGCCGGCGCCGCAGACUGCCACUUGACAGGACUUGGGGAGGCAGCGCGUGAAAAGGGUUCUAGCGGAAUACUUGCACGGCGACAAGGGGCACUAGAAUCGAUGUGGUGUUGUGACAGUGGACUAUAUGAGGCAGCCAGAGACUCGACUUCCCUCGAGAAGCUUGCGACUCGGGGGAGCGGCAGCCUAUGUCCGGUCGGUGGAGCAGGGCUACAUCUGCGUGUGCAUAGACGUGGGGGAUGCUUGCGCAACCUUUGCUGCUCGUACGCAGGGUUACAGGAGAGAGAAACAAGUGUUUUUCCCUUAGGUGCACUGCACUGUACAGGGGGUGCCAUGGGGGCUCCAGAUCUAGACGGCCCGUGCGGUGAAUAUGAGCGUUGGUCGAGUUCACGUGAUUGCCAGCGGGGAAUCUGAGGUUCCGACAACGUACCUCCUGCUGUAGCUCGGCUGAAAUCGGCUGGCACACAUUCGCGAGGCGAAUACUCAGACGAGUUAGGUUCGUCGUCCAUGCGACUGCGGCGACCAGGGGAAUCGGGCCUGUCUUUAAGUACGGCACGAUACGCACCCUUUUCGAGGUCCUUGUCUGUCUCGUACUGUCGCUGAUCUGUCCUUUCAGGCGGCCACUGUCGGCUGUCCCCCCGGUCGCCAUGCCUUGACUGUAGAACCAGCACCACAGGGCUUUGCUCUCUGCCCUGCCGGGGUUCUCGAUUGAACGCCUCCCUGGGCUCUUGGGGCAGUGAAAAAUCCCGAGGUCCUCUUAGCCUGUCGUGAUCACAGAAGCCCGCAUCCUCGUACGAAUAAUCAGCGUGUUGACGAUGGAGGUGUCGGAAGCCAUCUAGGUUUGGGGCGUUGUCCUGACGUUCGCGGGAGGACACAGGAGGCGGGGGGUCUCCGUGGGACAUCUGAGGCGUCUCCGCAGGGUCUGCGUCUCCGCGGUGUGAGAGAUCCAGACAAUUUGCGGUUUCAUGAGCACUGUGACGCCUCGAAAUGUGGAGCACCUCAGUCUGAGGGUAGGGCCCCCUAGCGGCUGGAUGAGACUCUGGAAGUCUUACUGUUCUAAUGCCUACAGCGCCCGACGCCCGUGUAGCAAAGGCGUCGCUUUCGCGUUCCUCCCGUUCGCUAAAGGGAGGAGGGGGUGGAGGGCCUCUCCGAGAGCAAGUAAACGUAUUGCCCGUGGGAAUAGGAAGCAGACCGACUCCCGCUUGCGGUGGCGCAGAGGCGGGUGGGGGCGGCUGAUGUCUGGAGACCCCAUACAGCUGCUGAUUUGUGGGCGCAUCUGGCGGGGCUCUGGGAACGGGAGGAUGUGGAUGACCGGCUGAUGCGGAGCCGGGACCGCGACGAGGACAAGACAACAGGGGAGGAUUUGGAGGGCCACCGAUGGGGCCGCUCCGCCCUGUCAGUUCCGGCCGAGUCAUGGCCCGCAAAACUGCAGGCGGUUCUGGCGGUGGUGGUGGCGCAGGCACGAAGGAGGCGUGCAUGGUCACAGAUACAAAUGUUCAAUUGCGACUGACGUCAACCAUUAGAAACAACGGAAACAAACGACCGGAGAAUCCACGCAGAAGGGGCAUCGAUCUGCGCAGAUACCGAAGCUCAAGUCCCUCAAAGCAAGAGCGUAACGCAAAUCAGGCUGCCGCAAUUCUUUAUAAGUUCCAGCAGAAAACAACUUGCUGACACAAACAUGAUCACGGAGUAGUGUGUCCAGUAUUGAAUCCAAUAAAGGUCGCACUGGAGAACACAAGAGCCUCGGUGGUUCUCCAGGACGGUCGUCGAACUCGACUGAUCGUGACUACCGUGACGGGUGUCACCUUUUGAGAGUCAGCCAAACCAUGAAGCUGCGAAAGCCCUGAAAAAAGCCCUGUAUGGGUGAAGAAAAACGAGCACGGCAAGUUGAACAAACUUGGAAGCAGCAAUACUGAGUUGGUAUGGGAGGUGCGCCGACGAGAUACCCGGCCGGUGAUAUAUGGGGUCAGAUUGCUUUUUGACGGAAGUUGUUGGCACUGGAAAGACCUCCUUGAAACAGCUGCAUCAACGCAGGAUCGCUCCAGAACACGGGUAGGGGGCUGGAAUCAGCAAGUUAAACAGUCGUUCAUUGAAUGCAUAGAGUGACGGUAACCGUAUGAAAUGAUGCCAGAGGCCGUUGGAACCCGCAGUCAAAGUCAUCGCGUGUCUUUCCCCUUUCUUUGUGGCUUCACAACAAGAAGAGUUAUGCGCACGAACCAGUAGGCUUGACGACGACUUUAGGUGUCUUUUUCACUUUUCACUUUUCCCUUUAGCCCGAAAACCACCGGGCCAUUCCAAGCAAUUAGCGUCGCAGUUUGCAGCGCAAAUUGCGAGCAGAAACAGGCAUGAUCAAAGAUGAAUGAUGGAAGACAGAGAGCACAUGGACUAGGGAGGACGGAAAAGUAAGGGUGGCCAGCCGGAAAAAGAGGGUGAAAAUGUGCACAGUUGGAUUGAACUUUCGGUUUAAAAAUGCAAACAUUUUCCGAUCUCGUGCACGAAUCUAAAAAUACCAUCCCAGGCCGAACCAACAGUCAAUCUAGCAGUCGAAUCUAAAGGGAGAAUCACUUUUUCCCAAAUCUGGCCCCCAGCGCGAAAUAGUUAAAAAACUGACAAGACGGGUUUUUGUGUUUGUGACAAGGUUUUGAAAAGCUGCCAGUUAACCGGGCGUUGACAAGUCAAAGCCAAGGGUGCUCAUUAUCGCAUUUUAGACACGAAUAGAAAAUGGCUUGACAGGUGUGCAUUAUGAAACGUUACACGGAGCACAUUUAAAUUGAAUUCGCUUCCCUUUCUUAAAAGGGCUCACAUUCGACACCAAGGAAAAAGCGCCAAUAGUGGGGCCGCCCUCCAGGCUCUAAUAGCGAGCACGACUUGAGAACAGCUAUCUCAACGGGAUAACCAACCCUUAAAGAAAUGGGAAAGCCGGGGAAAAAACACACAGAUUACGACAUCGUCCGCGCCUCCAUGAAUCUCCCGCCUUCCGGAGCUAGCAAUUAGUGAAGUUUCGUUGCUUUCUUAAACUUCUAACAAGUUUCGUCCCAGAUCGCGAACAGUGCGUAGUCUAGUGCACUGUGCCACGUUCGCAUGUGGUGCGCGCACACACCAUGCACCUCGCGCUCCACCAGAUCGGCGAAAAGGCACCAAAGAUAAGCGGUCCUGAAUAUGUUGCUUCAACAAGGUUUUGAGAAGCUCAUUAAAAACAACAACGCAGUCACGGUGACUCAUAUGCGUGGAGGUCACACUUUGCAUAUCCGUUAAAAAGAAGUCUUGGCGGUUACCCAAGGAUGAGACGACCGAUCAACGUGAAGCGACUACAGUUUGGCCACCCAGCGUAGUCAACGUACUUUGAUUCAUCACGACGAAUUGGAAAAAACUGUGUCAAAUGAAUGUUUGUAAGGAAGCGGAAAGCGCUUAUUGAUGAUUGAAUAAAGCUGCGUCUGAGGCUUUCUCACCGCUGAGAAAAAUCGAUCCGUACGUGGCAGUGUUUGAGUCUCACUCCUGAAGGGCAUUGUGGAAAGACAGUGCUGUUCAGAGGUACCUUGCGGAUGUGGUGUAUGCUCACGUUGUCUUCGCCAAAGGCAAAAUGAUUUUCUUUCCUCUGAUGCUCACGUUCGAUCCGCGUACCGAGAAAAUGCUCAACAGCCGCAUUAAUUUGGACUCACUCGCCAGCCAGAAAGGGUUUGAUAGGGUUGAUACUCCUGUCGCACCAGUCACAGAGGUUACCAACCAGCUUCCUUCCUGACCCCACCCUCACGGCGUUCGUGCUGAUGGCAAGUUUAUCUCGAGUCACCCACAUGGGUUUAAUCGAUUUAACGUGAACAUAGAAGGUGCAAAUUAUUUGUUGGCAGGGAGAGCCACUCCAGACAGGGAAACCACCUAAUCUGAACUAUCAUGUCCAAAUUCACUUUCCCUCAUAGCCUAUCGAUUAGUGGGCGAUUCAGCAAGUAGUGUACUACAACAGGAUGAGAGAGACAUGUGCUUUUAGGCAACCGUGUCUCGGCGCAUGAGCGGAACCUGCCGCAAAUGAACGUGUCACGCAGCACGUGAGUAUGUCAAAACCGUAACUUCACCAAACUGCUUGUUUCUAUUCGUGAAAGGACCAGCGUUGCACUUUUUCUGAAGAACACAUCGUUGGUAUCUAUUAAAUCUCUGCUACUCUCGUGAUUUUCAAGCUAUAGUCAUCAUCAUCUGAGUCUGGGCGUGGG
rnacentral:lncRNA from 1 species